CCUUCUAACCACCCGCGCUCUCACACUUUGCCUCCGCUCCGCCGUUUCCAUGGCUCCGGUUUCCUACUUUCCUCUUGUCUCCUCCGUCCUCAGCCUGUUCUGUAAUGUGGGAUUUACUAGAAGAGCAGGGCUGGUGUUCGAGGAGGAGAAGUUGAAAUCCUAGAGGGAGGAAGGCGGGGAAGCCAAUACUACUUGCUAUUUCCACUGCAAUGAACGUCUCUGUGUCAUCAAAAUAAGAACUUCAACCCCAAGGUUGAAACAGCCAAGCAGAAUUUGAUGGAAAUAUAUUUAGGAACAGCUAAAUUAGCAGUGCGACGCGUGUUUUCUUUUCAUUGAAGAAUUCAGCCAGUUAAAACGAGUCUAAAUGGAAGUCUGAAAGCUUUUUCUUCAUUGUUGAGGAAUAAAAUAUUUCGUGUAUUUUUCGUUUUCCAGAUUCAUUCAUUUAACAAAUAUCAGUUGAGCACUUUCCAUGCCGUAGGGCCUGUACAAGGCACAUAGCAUUCUAGACAUCUGAAGCAUCAAAACUAAUCAUUUUUAUUUUGAAGAAAAUCACUCAAAAUAUUUUAUGUACUUUGUGCCUUUCAUGAACAGAAUAUUCCAAGCAUUCUCUGCAAAAUACGCAUGAAAACAAUUGGGAGAGAAGAGGUCAAUUAUCUUUGAGAAGCCCAAUUACAGAAUGAAAUUCAAUUCAUUAUUAAAAAUACAUGGAUCUAAUAAAGAAUAAAUAAUUGGAAAAGAAAAGUUUAAGGAAGAGAGAAACGGGAAUGAGAAACAAUUACUGUGGGCUCCCAAUGGCCUGGAGUGAAUCACCAAAGUAACCUAAACAUGAAGUCAUGAAAAACUAAGUGGAUUCUGCCUUUUAGUACUUCCCAUCAUGGGGGAAGUCACCAGCGACCUCCUUACUGUAUUUUGGAUGAUUCAAGAAAUAGAAAGGUGUCCUACUGACUUCUGAAACAGGGUGUCUUCAUAUUGAUUAGGGUCACCGUAAGCCUGGGAGCUGAUGCUUACUCUCAGGUAAAGGAUGCUGUGUGAGGCUGCUUGAUGAAUGAGAAUACUAACAUUCUUCUGCAUUGAAAAAAUAUAACCUAUAAGAUGAACAUUGUAGGCCGGGCGCAGUGGCUCACGC
rnacentral:lncRNA from 1 species